CUAGGAAUAUGAUUGAUGAGUGCAGGGUGUUAAUUCGGUUUUAUUUUGUGUUAUGGGGUAUACGUGCGGGUUCGGUGGAGUGUGAUUUGUGAGUGAUGUGUGUAUGAGUCGUCUCCUCCUUCCUGCGCCGUCGUCGUCUCCUGGCUUCAAUUGUCGGGGCCGGGUUUUGGUCCCGCUGCCGAAUUUGCCUCCUGAAGAUACUGUUGCCGUUGCACAUGUGGCCUGCUUUGAUCUCUCCCGGAAACUGACCCUCGCAAUCUAACCUUCACGGCCUCGUUUUUUCUUCUCCAGCCUUGCCACCUUGCUCCCUCCUUGCAACCCUGUUACAGCCUCCCAGGAUCCACAACAGAGGCCGCUGUCUCCUCUCCUUCUCCAGCCAUGUCGGCUAAUGGCUCCUUCAGAAAAAAACCUUUUAAGCACCACACUCCCAUUUAAAGGUCCUGCCGUCGAAACGGGAGUGCAAAACCAAGGCGGCUUCCGGAUCUUAUCAGCCCAAAUGUAGGCUAUCGCCCACACCCUCGUCUCACGCUCUACCGACUUAUAUGACCGGGCUACUGCUUUAGAUCUUUAGCAUGGAACACUCCUAUCCGUGCCCCUUGCAGUGUCUCCAGUUCAUAUAAGCUGUUUCCUAAGCUCCGGACCACUCUGCACUUUCCAUACUUCGGACUAAACUUGUCAUUGCUAUUGUUUUUAAAAUUGCUUAAUAUGAAAUUCCGCUCAUACACUUCCUGUCCAGGUAAGUACCGGAUAUCUCUUGCCUUUCGAUCAUACCGCUCCUUCGAUUUCUUGUAGGCCUCAUGCGAAUUCUUCCGGACCUCAUCGCGGAUGAUCUCCUGCUGGUCUUGUCUUGCCUCGAGUGAUACUUGCGCAUCGUUCAGGGCUCCCAGCCUCCGUGAUAGUUUGUAGUCCCGCCCGCUGGUGAACAUGUGCUGUCCGAACAGCACGAAGUAGGGUGACGUGCCGAUGCCUGUGUGUAUCGCACUCCUGGCCGCACACUGUAUCUCCGUGAGCUUCUCAUCCCAGCGCGUAUGAUCGUCGCUUACGUAUGUCUGGAUGGCUGCCAGGACUGUCUGGUUUACGCGUUCUGCUGCGUUUGCCUGAGGGGCAUAGUUUCCCGAUCUCCUCUUGUUCAGGAAUUGUGUGAAUUCCGCCGACACAAACUGCUUGCCAUUAUCGGUGUGUACCGUUUCGGGCACUCCAAACUGUGGGAAGACCUCUUCUCGUAGGAAUCGGAUUGCGACUAUGGAAGUGGCCUUCGACAUGGCCUUUAGCCAAAUAUAUUUCGACAUGUGGUCGAGGACUAUCAGUAUGACCACAUUCCCGCUUCUCGUCCUAAGAUAUGGACCCAAAAAAUCAAGAUAAAGCUUCUGGAUCGGCCUCUCGGUUACUGUUUCCGCCCCCAUGAGUGGACGUUUAAUCUGCGUUGAGUGCUUUGUCUCCCUACAGGUUUCACAGCCGGUCACGUACGCCUUCACCUGUACUGUCAUACGGGGCCAAUAGUAAUACUGCUGUAGGCGUCCCAGUGUCCUCGCGAUACCUCCAUGCAUUGCCACGUCGCUAUCGUGUGCCUCCUGGAUCAGCGUGCUCGUCAGUGCUUCUGGAAUCCACAGCUUCCACUGGAACUCCUCCAACUCUGGCCGGGCAAAUUGUGUACGCCUAAACAGCAGGCCAUCCUCCACCUUCAGGACUGGAAAGUUGUCCCUAUCAUGCUGGACUGUCUCUAUCCUCCCCAGGUAUUCCUUGUCUUCGAAUGCUGUGGUGUCAGAGUCCAGGAAGUCGAUCGCCUCUACGUCAAACGGACGAGAGAGCAUAUCCGCGACAACGUUGUCCUUCCCCUUGCGGUGCUCUAUCUCGAAGUCAUACGCCUGGAGAGCUAAUGACCAUCUAGCUAGUCUCCCAUCCAGCGCCUUGAACUUCAUCAGCCACUGCAAGCUUGCGUGAUCCGUUAUCACCGUGAAUGGCAUCAGCUCUACGAACGCUGUAAUUCAGUUGCGCGCCUCUCAACUUCGCCGAAAAAAACGCGAUCGGGUGUUCCGCUCCCUCCUGGAAGAGAACUGCUCCAAUCCCCACGUGGCUCCCAUCACACUGGAUAAAAAAGUGUUUCUUAAAGUCCGGGUGGCGUAACAAGGGAGCGCUGGCAGUCUGUGAGAGGAGCUGAUAAUGCCGAGAAAUUUCGAAUAAACUGGCGAUACCAGCCGGCUGUCCCCAAAAAUCUCCGAAUUUAUCGCACGUUCAUCGGCAUCGGUAUCUGCGUGAUCGUCUGUACCUUUUCCGGAUCGGUCCCCUUCAUGUGUUCCUCGAACGUCCGGGAAAUGACUAGCAGGUCAUCCAAAUAUACGAAGACAUGGCUUCGUAGUCGCUGGGGAAUCACGCGGUCCAUUAAUCGACACAGACGCUGUGCUGCGUUGCACAAUCCGAACGGCAUCGACUUAAAUUGAUAGAGUGGUCUCCCUGGCACCGCAAAUGCUGUAUACGUUCGACUUUCGGGCUCCAGCUCUAUCUGCCAAAAGGCGUGCUUCAAGUCAAUGCUGCUGAUGAACACGGUGUCCUCAACCCGGCUCAGGAUCGAUUCGAUGCUCUGCAGUGGGUAAGCAUCCUUGAUUGUUAGCCUGUUCAGCUUCCGCGCAUC